CCUACGGGAGACAGCAGUGAGGAAUAUUGGUCAAUGGGCGCGAGCCUGAACCAGCCAAGUCGCGUGAGGGAAGACGGUCCUAUGGAUUGUAAACCUCUUUUGUCGGGGAGCAAAAGACGCCACGCGUGGCGUUCCGAGAGUACCCGAAGAAAAAGCAUCGGCUAACUCCGUGCCAGCAGCCGCGGUAAUACGGAGGGUGCGAGCGUUGUCCGGAAUGACUGGGCGUAAAGGGAGUGUAGGCGGCUUAUCAAGUUAGAUGUGAAAUCCCGCGGCUUAACCGCGGAACUGCAUCUAAAACUGGUGAGCUGGAGUGCAGGAGAGGUGAGUGGAAUUCCUAGUGUAGCGGUGGAAUGCGUAGAUAUUAGGAGGAACACCAGAGGCGAAGGCGACUCACUGGACUGUAACUGACGCUGAGGCUCGAAAGCGUGGGGAGCAAACAGGAUUAGAUACCCGGGUAGUC
rnacentral:rRNA from 1 species